GACGAACGCUGGCGGCGUGCUUAACACAUGCAAGUCGAACGGAAAGGCCCUGCUUUUGUGGGGUGCUCGAGUGGCGAACGGGUGAGUAACACGUGAGUAACCUGCCCUUGACUUUGGGAUAACUUCAGGAAACUGGGGCUAAUACCGGAUAGGAGCUCCUGCUGCAUGGUGGGGGUUGGAAAGUUUCGGCGGUUGGGGAUGGACUCGCGGCUUAUCAGCUUGUUGGUGGGGUAGUGGCUUACCAAGGGUUUGACGGGUCGCCGGCCUGAGAGGGUGACCGGGCACAAUGGGACUGAGAGACGGCCCAGAGGGCAACGGUAGGCAGCAGGGGGGAAUAUGACACAAUGGGCCGAAGCCUGAGGCAGCGGCGCCGCGUGCGUGAAGACGGCCUUCGGGGUGUAAACCGCUUUCGCCUGUGACGAAGCGGUAGUGACGGUAAUGGGUAAAGAAGCACCGGCUAACUACGUG
rnacentral:rRNA from 1 species